UACGUAGGCAGCGAGCGUUGUUCGGAGUUACUGGGCGUAAAGGGUGUGUAGGCGGUUGUUUAAGUUUGGUGUGAAAUCUCCCGGCUCAACUGGGAGGGUACGCCGAAUACUGAGCGACUAGAGUGCGGGAGAGGAAAGUGGAAUUCCUGGUGUAGCGGUGAAAUGCGUAGAUAUCAGGAGGAACACCGGUGGUGUAGACGGCUUUCUGGACCGUAACUGACGCUGAGACACGAAAGCGUGGGUAGCAAACAGG
rnacentral:rRNA from 1 species